rnacentral:lncRNA from 1 species
AACAACUAAUGGAAAAAUUAUAUACAGAAAAAUGCAAAGAAUAUGAAGAGAGCUCACAAAUUAGAAUAUUCAAAUGUUGGAUAUACACUGUAUGAUAAGUUGUGAGGAAACAAGAACUUUUAUCCAUAUUGGUAUAUGUCUAUAUUGGUAAACUCUUGAAAGAUAAUUCUGUAAUAUCUAUCACAGUGUUGUAUGUUAAAUGCCUAUUAACAAUUCUCCUAAGAAUUUACCCUAUGAAUAUACUCAGAGCAUGUGAAACAGUCUAAAAAUACACUAUAUGGUCCAUCCGUACAGCGGAAUAUCCCACUAUAAAGAAGAAAAUAGGUCUGAGUACAUCUCCCAGAUACAUGAGGAAAGAAAGGAACACUAGGCACAGUGGUAUAUAUAGAUUGUUCACACUUGUUUAAAUUUUACAGGUAUACAAAAAAAUUGUUCUGGAAUGCAGUAAACUAAUUCUCACCUUUGAGAAGAGGGUCUAUUUUGUCAAAAGUAUUAGAAUUGUUUUCAUUUAUCAAAUUUUGUACUGUUUGAAUUUUUUACCGUGUAAAUUGCUUUUAAUUUUAAAUAUUUUAAAUUGUUUAAUGUUAUAUUAUUUGGACAGAUGCUUC